GGCGAACGGUCGCGUAACACGUAAGCAACCUGCCCCGAAGUGGGGGAUAACAGCUCGAAAGGGCUGCUAAUACCGCAUGUGGCCAAGAAAGCGCCUGCUUUUUUGUCCAAAGCCUUGUGCGCUUCGGGAUGGGCUUGCGGCCUAUCAGUUAGUUGGUGGGGUAACGGCCUACCAAGGCGUUGACGGGUAGCUGGUCUGAGAGGAUGGUCAGCCGGAUUGGGACUGAGACACGGCCCAGACUCCUACGGGGGGCAGCAAUUAGGAAUCUUGCGCAAUGGGGGCAACCCUGACGCAGCGACGCCGCGUGCGGGAUGACGGGCUUCGGCCUGUAAACCGCUUUUGAAGGGGAAGAAGAAUGUGACGGUACCCUUCGAAUAAGCCCCGGCUAACUACGUGCCAGCAGCCGCGG
rnacentral:rRNA from 1 species